AACGUCUAAUUGCUAUGCAAAACUAAAAGUUUCAGCAUGUAGAAACGAAUUUGAAUCAAACAAUGAUUGUUAUGUAGACCUUAUUUUUGGAGAGGAAAGCAAUAUAUAUUGCCCAAAUUACACAAUAAUUGAUAGUGAUAAUAAUAAUAGUGAUAAUGAUGUAUUUUACAAAAAUAGUCCUAUAUAUCAACCAAACACAUGUUUCAACCAAAUGAUAAAAAAAGAUGCAAAAAGAAAUAAUAAAGAGAAAAAUAUAACAGAUCUAAUACCAGAUUUAAUGAUAUUUCAAGACAAAAGAGAUCUUGUUCAAUAUUUUUAUUUACCACAUUACGUACCACAUCACAUACCACAUAAUUCUGUUUUUUCUUGUUACUGUAUUGAUACAAUACAAAAAAAAGCAUAUAAACUUAAUAUAAAAAUUGAUAAAUCUAAUAAUGGUAAAAAGAUUAAAACAUGUAAUUUUUAUUAUUCAGAUGAAGAAAAAACAGAUGAAAAAAUAAAUAGUUUUUUUGGUAAUAGUAUAAAUUUGAAAUAUAAUAAAAACUGUAACAUUGAUGGUGAAGAAAAUGACGUGAUAGCAUUCAAAUGCGCACAUAAACAAAAAAUGGACGACAUUAGUAACAAAAUUGGUGGAACUGGCAAUAGUGGAUACAUGAGCGUAAUAAAUGUUGCUCCUUUAGCAUGCUUUCAUGUAGUAAUAGACGAAGAAAAAAAUUCACCUGUAUUAGUUGAAGGCUUGAUCAAUGGUGCGCACGUACUCCCCGACCAAUAUUUUUAUUAUAAAGAACAUAAAUUUUUAAAUACCUUUUUAACUUAUUUAUUAUUACCACGUGAAAUAAAAGAAACAAAAAAAAUAAAAUGUACUUGUACGAUAGCUGAACAAAUUUCUGCAACAUCAUAUACAGGUACACUUUCCUUACAGGUAACCAAAAAUAAUGCAUUUUGUGCUACUAUAGAUUUACAUUAUUAUCUUUUUAAUGAAAAUGAAAUAUCAAAUAAUGACGAAAAAAAAAAAGAAGAAGUAAAAAGUUCAGCAUAUUUCAAAGAUUACACAAUUUUUAUGGUAUUUUAUUUUAUUUUAUUAUAUUGUGUUCAUUUUUAAUAUAUUAUAAACAGCUUUUAAUUUUUAGAUAUACAAAAAAAAAAAAUAAAAAAAUAAAAUAAAA
rnacentral:lncRNA from 1 species